rnacentral:rRNA from 1 species
UACGUAGGGGGCGAGCGUUGUCCGGAAUUAUUGGGCGUAAAGAGCUCGUAGGCGGUUUGUCGCGUCUGCUGUGAAAUCCCAGGGCUUAACCCUGGGCCUGCAGUGGGUACGGGCAAACUAGAGUGCGGUAGGGGAGAUCGGAAUUCCUGGUGUAGCGGUGAAAUGCGCAGAUAUCAGGAGGAACACCGGUGGCGAGGGCGGAUCUCUGGGCCGUAACUGACGCUGAGGAGCGAAAGCAUGGGUAGCGAACAGG